rnacentral:rRNA from 2 species
GGGGAAUAUUGGGCAAUGGGCGAAAGCCUGACCCAGCAACGCCGCGUGAAGGAAGAAGGCCCUCGGGUUGUAAACUUCUUUUAUUCGGGACGAAACAAAUGACGGUACCGAAUGAAUAAGCCACGGCUAACUACGUGCCAGCAGCCGCGGUAAUACGUAGGGGGCAAGCGUUAUCCGGAUUUACUGGGUGUAAAGGGAGCGUAGGUGGUUCGGCAAGUCAGAUGUGAAAGCCCGGGGCUCAACCCCGGGACUGCAUUUGAAACUGUCGGGCUAGAGUGCAGGAGAGGUAAGUGGAAUUCCUAGUGUAGCGGUGAAAUGCGUAGAUAUUAGGAGGAACACCAGUGGCGAAGGCGGCUUACUGGACUGUAACUGACACUGAGGCUCGAAAGCGUGGGGAGCAAACA